rnacentral:misc_RNA from 1 species
GUGAAUCAUCGAAUUUUUGAACGCAAAUUGCGCUUCCUGGCAUCCCGGGAAGUAUGCCUGUUUGAGGGUCAGUAUUAAUAAAAAAUCGGUUUAGUUACGAAUUGUGACGUUUCCGGAGUUUGGGCUACCUUAACAUUUUUGGUUAAGAGGCUUAAAAUUGACCUUUUUUGCGCAUUUUUAAACGUACAUAAAUUUUUUUAUUCGUCCAUUUCUUAUGCCAAAAAUCUAUUUAAUUGCA